UAGUUGGUAAGGUAACGGCUUACCAAGGCGACGAUCAGUAGCCGACCGGAGAGGGUGAUCGGCCACAUUGGAACUGAGACACGGUCCAAACUCCUACGGGAGGCAGCAGUGGGGAAUAUUGCACAAUGGGCGAAAGCCUGAUGCAGCAACGCCGCGUGAGUGAUGAAGGCCGUCGGGUCGUAAAACUCUGUCCUCAAGGAAGAUAAUGACGGUACUUGAGGAGGAAGCCCCGGCUAACUACGUGCCAGCAGCCGCGGUAAUACGUAGGGGGCUAGCGUUAUCCGGAUUUACUGGGCGUA
rnacentral:rRNA from 1 species